rnacentral:lncRNA from 1 species
UUGCCACCGCGAUUUCCUGGUAUGAAAUUACUCUGCAAUGCCUGCUCUGGUUGAGAGGUUCCAUCCUUCUGGUUCAUUCUCUGCUCGUGAGAACUUAAUGAACCCAACAACCUGUCAACUGACAUGGUUGAUGUAUAUUGGCCUUCCUCGAUGGCUGCUACAACAUAGUCAAAUUUGCGGUUAGAGAUCGUAGUAUUUUUUCUACUACUCUCU